ACAUAGGUUUGGUCCCAGCCUUUCUAUUGGUUGUUAGUAAAACUACACAUGCAAGUAUCCACAUUCCGGUGAAAAUGCCCUCUAAAUCAUCAAUGAUAAAAAGGAGCAGGUAUCAAGCACACUAUUAAGUAGCUCAUAACGCCUUGCUUAGCCACACCCCCACGGGAAACAGCAGUGAUAAAAAUUAAGCAAUGAACGAAAGUUUGACUAAGUUAUACUAUACAAGGGUUGGUAAAUCUCGUGCCAGCCACCGCGGUCAUACGAUUAACCCUAAUCAAUAGACAUACGGCGUAAAGCGUGUUUAAGAUUACUCCAACAAUAAAGCCAAAUCUUAGCUAAACUGUAAAAAGUCCUAGCUAUUGUAAGACCUAUUACGAAAGUAGCUUUAAAUGAUCUGAAUACACGACAGCUAAGAUCCAAACUGGGAUUAGAUACCCCACUAUGCUUAGCCUUAAACUUAAAAUAUUAAAAUAACAAAAUUUCUCGCCAGAGUACUACUAGCCACAGCCUAAAACUCAAAGGACUUGGCGGUGCUUCACAUCCCCCUAGAGGAGCCUGUUCUAUAAUCGAUAAACCCCGAUAGACCUCACCAACCCUUGCCAACUCAGCCUAUAUACCGCCAUCUUCAGCAAACCCUUAAAAGGAACCAUAGUAAGCUCAAUUAUCUCACAUAAAAACGUUAGGUCAAGGUGUAGCUUAUGGGUUGGAAAGAAAUGGGCUACAUUUCCUACAUAUAGGCCACAAUCUUUAUACGAAAGUACUUGUGAAAUCAAGAACUAAAGGUGGAUUUAGCAGUAAAUUAAGAAUAGAGUGCUUAAUUGAAUAAGGCCAUGAAGCACGCACACACCGCCCGUCACCCUCCUCAAAUAUUAAAGAUAAAACAAAACAUAUACCCAAAUAUCACAUAUACUAGAGGAGAUAAGUCGUAACAAGGUAAGCGUACUGGAAAGUGCGCUUGGACAACU
rnacentral:ncRNA from 1 species